CCGCGCGAACGCGGCGAUCGGAAGGAUGAGCAUUUACUCAGGUACUUCGGAUCACAACAGCGGAUUGAGCGCUUAAACUCCCUGCGCAGGCAUUAUGUAACGGUGUUUCGAUAACAGACGAAGUCACACUUCGUCAUUUUCGGCAUCGCAUGGUUUUAUACACGAGACCCGGCGUUACAGAAUUGUUCGCUUGUCUUCAAGAUGAAACGAUUGCAUAUUCUUCACAGACAUACUGUAUUUUCAAACAGCUUGUGUAUAAAUGUCCCUAAGAAAUCGUGCAUGCUCGAAGAUCAAAACAACUGAAAGUUUUUACAGCAAACAUGGCAUUGAUGUCCUUCCGCUCCUUACGGCGAACUCCCAGCAGACCUGUUUGUAUCACGAAAAUCUCGUCAUCGUAUUGUGCUAAUCC